rnacentral:rRNA from 1 species
GGAAUCGAUAACCGCUGAAAGCAUCUAAGCGGGAAGCGAGCCCUGAGAUGAGUCUUCCCUGAUACUUUAAGUAUCCUAAAGGGUUGUCGGAGACUACGACGUUGAUAGGUCAGGUGUGUAAGUGCUGUGAGGCAUUGAGCUAACUGAUACUAAUUGCCCGUGAGGCUUAACCAU